rnacentral:rRNA from 1 species
AACACAUGCAAGUCGGACGGUAGCACAGAGAGCUUGCUCUUGGGUGACGAGUGGCGGACGGGUGAGUAAUGUCUGGGGAUCUGCCCGAUAGAGGGGGAUAACCACUGGAAACGGUGGCUAAUACCGCAUAACGUCGCAAGACCAAAGAGGGGGACCUUCGGGCCUCUCACUAUCGGAUGAACCCAGAUGGGAUUAGCUAGUAGGCGGGGUAAUGGCCCACCUAGGCGACGAUCCCUAGCUGGUCUGAGAGGAUGACCAGCCACACUGGAACUGAGACACGGUCCAGACUCCUACGGGAGGCAGCAGUGGGGAAUAUUGCACAAUGGGCGCAAGCCUGAUGCAGCCAUGCCGCGUGUAUGAAGAAGGCCUUCGGGUUGUAAAGUACUUUCAGCGGGGAGGAAGGCGACGGGGUUAAUAACCGCGUCGAUUGACGUUACCCGCAGAAGAAGCACCGGCUAACUCCGUGCCAGCAGCCGCGGUAAUACAA